GACGAACGCUGGCGGCGUGCUUAACACAUGCAAGUCGAACGGAAAGGCCCUGCUUUUGUGGGGUGCUCGAGUGGCGAACGGGUGAGUAACACGUGAGUAACCUGCCCUUGACUUUGGGAUAACUUCAGGAAACUGGGGCUAAUACCGGAUAGGAGCUCCUGCUGCAUGGUGGGGGUUGGAAAGUUUCGGCGGUUGGGGAUGGACUCGCGGCUUAUCAGCUUGUUGGUGGGGUAGUGGCUUACCAAGGCUUUGACGGGUAGCCGGCCUGAGCGGGUGACCGGCCACAUUGGGACUGAGAUACGGCCCAGACUCCUACGGGAGGCAGCAGUGGGGAAUAUUGCACAAUGGGCGGAAGCCUGAUGCAGCAACGCCGCGUGCGGGAUGACGGCCUUCGGGUUGUAAACCGCUUUCGCCUGUGACGAAGCGUAAGUGACGGUAAUGGGUAAAGAAGCACCGGCUAACUACGUG
rnacentral:rRNA from 1 species